AUACCGGCGGCUCGAGUGGUGGCCACUUUUAUUGGGCUUAAAGCGUUCGUAGCUGGGUUGUUAAGUCUCUUGGGAAAUCCGGCGGCUUAACCGUCGGGCGUCUAAGAGAUACUGGCAAUCUUGGAACCGGGAGAGGUGAGGGGUACUUCGGGGGUAGGAGUGAAAUCCUGUAAUCCUCGAGGGACCACCUGUGGCGAAGGCGCCUCACCAGAACGGCUUCGACAGUGGGGGACGAAAGCUGGGGGAGCAAACCGGAUUAGAUACCCGGGUAGUCCCAGCCGUAAACGAUGUGCGUUAGGUGUAUCGACGACCACGAGUCGUCGAGGUGCCGAAGGGAAACCGUGAAACGUACCGCCUGGGAAGUACGGUCGCAAGGCUGAAACUUAAAGGAAUUGGCGGGG
rnacentral:rRNA from 1 species